rnacentral:misc_RNA from 1 species
GAUGAAGAACGCAUCGAAAUGCGAUAAGUAAUGUGAAUUGCAGAAUUCAGUGAACCAUCGAAUCUUUGAACGCACAUUGCGCCCGGCAGUAAUCUGCCGGGCAUGCCUGUCCGAGCGUCAUUUCUGCCCUCGAGCGAGUCCAGCAUCUAGGUGCUGGGCCCGCCCGGCGUUGGGGCACUACGGGAAGCCCUGUGCUGUCCCCCGUAGGCCCCGAAAUGAAGUGGCGGUCCUGCCGCGGCGCCCCCUGCGUAGUAUAACAGCUCGCUUCGGGACCCGGUGGAGGCCUGCCGUCAAACCUUACUCUCUAAGUUUGACCUCGGAUCAGGUAGGGUUACCCGCUGAACUUAAGCAUAUCAAUAAGCGGAGGA